GCGAACGGGUGAGUAACGUGUGGGUAAUCUACCUAGAGGUGGGGGAUAGCCUCGGGAAACCGGGGGUAAUACCGCAUAAGUCCCGACUGACUUAAGUCUAACGGGGGAAAGGCGGGGAUCUUCGGACCUGUCGCCACUAGAUGAGCCCGCAUCCGAUUAGCUUGUUGGUGAGGUAAUGGCUCACCAAGGCAUCAAUCGGUAGCCGGCCUGAGAGGGUGAACGGCCACAUUGGGACUGAGACACGGCCCAGACUCCUACGGGAGGCAGCAGUGGGGAAUUUUGGGCAAUGGGGGAAACCCUGACCCAGCGACGCCGCGUGGAGGAUGAAGGCCUUCGGGUUGUAAACUCCUGUCAGGUGGGAAGAAGAGUCCUGUGGAUAAUACUCACAGGGAAUUGACGGUACCACCAAAGGAAGCCCCGGCUAACUCCGUGCCAGCAGCCGCGGUAAUACGGAGGGGGCAAGCGUUAUUCGGAUUUACUGGGCGUAAAGCGCACGUAGGCGGCAAUGUAAGUCACAGGUGAAAGCCCUCGGCUCAACCGAGGAACUGCCUGCGAAACUGUAUUGCUUGAGUCCGGGAGGGGGGAGCGGAAUUCCAAGUGUAGCGGUGAAAUGCGUAGAUACUUGGAGGAACACCGGUGGCGAAGCGGCUCCCUGGACCGGUACUGACGCUGAGUGCGAAAGCGUGGGUAGCAAACAGGAUUAGAUACCCUGGUAGUCCACGCCGUAAACGAUG
rnacentral:rRNA from 1 species